ACCAGCUACCUAGUAUAUAAGGGGCUGUAGUCUCUAGAUUCACUCUCUUGAGACCUGGACCUAAAAGCAAGUACAAAGUCCUGUACCAUUCAAGUUCAGCUUAUCUAGGCCAAAGCCUAAGAACCUGCAGCCUCAACUAAACUGAGCCAAAACAACCGCAGCCUACAGACCGUGACCAAUGGAGAAAAAUGAAGGACUGUGACCAAAAGGGGGUGAAAGGCCGACGAAUGAGUCAAGGCAUGAAGACCGAUCACCAAACUUAAAGAAAACGGCACCUGAAAAUCCCACUACUAGGGGUCGGUCCUCAUACCUAUUGGGACACUAACCAGUCCUGUAUCGGAUCACAACUGUAUCCAGCAUGGACAACCUUCAGGUGAAUGAACGCAUCAGCAGUGAAAAUCUCUCUCCUGUCCUGUUACAUUGUAACAAACUAUCUCUGGAUGUAAACAAAAUGUCUGGUAUUACUGAUGGAAAGCAGAGAUAGCGAGGUA